rnacentral:rRNA from 1 species
CGGCAAUAGCUCAAAUUUGAAAGCUGGCCCCUUCGGGGUCCGCGUUGUAAUUUGUAGAGGAUGAUUCGGCGAGGGCUCCCGUCUAAGUCCCUUGGAACAGGGCGUCAUAGAGGGUGAGAAUCCCGUAUGUGAUGGGCUGCCUUAGCCAUGUGAAUCUCCUUCGACGAGUCGAGUUGUUUGGGAAUGCAGCUCUAAAUGGGAGGUAAAUUUCUUCUAAAGCUAAAUACCGGCCAGAGACCGAUAGCGCACAAGUAGAGUGAUCGAAAGAUGAAAAGCACUUUGGAAAGAGAGUUAAAAAGUACGUGAAAUUGUUGAAAGGGAAGCGCUUGCAGCCAGACUUGUCCGCAGUUGCUCAGCUUGUCUCCUGACAGGCGUACUCUUCUGCGGCCAGGCCAGCAUCAGUUCGGGCGGUCGGAUAAAGACCUAGGGAAUGUAGCUCCUCUCGGGGAGUGUUAUAGCCCUGGGUGCAAUGCGGCCAGCCUGGACUGAGGAUCUCGCUUCGGCUAGGAUGCUGGCGUAAUGGCUGUAAGCGGCCCGUCUUGAAACACGGACC